GGCUCCGUAGCUCAGUGGUUAGAGCAGGGGAUUCAUAAGCCCAAGGUCGUAGGUUCAAAUCCAACCGGAGCCA